ACACGUAGGGGGCGAGCGUUGUUCGGAAUCAUUGGGCGUAAAGGGCGUGCAGGCGGUCCUGCAAGUCCGGCGUGACAGACCCCGGCCCAACCGGGGGGACGCGCUGGAAACUGCAGGGCUUGAGUACAGGAGGGGAUGCCGGAAUUCCAGGUGUAGGGGGGAAAUCUGUAGAUAUCUGGAAGAACACCAAUGGCGAAGGCAGGCAUUUGGCCAUGUACUGACGCUGAGACGCUAAGGUGCGGGGAGAAAACAGGUUUAGAUACCCUGGUAGUCCGCACAGUAAACGAUGUGCACCAGGUGGCGGGGGGUCGACCCCCGGUACCGUAGCUAACGCAUUAAGUGCACCGCCUGGGGAGUAUGCUCGCAAGGGUGAAACUCAAAUGAAUUGACGGGG
rnacentral:rRNA from 1 species